UGGUAGUGGCAGCUGGAUCCUGGUUCAAAGUAAAAGAAGUUAACAACAUUUUAGGUGGUAUUUCACAUAUAUUUUGAAAGAGGCACAUGACUCUCAUUUGCAGCCUAACAUUGGCCUUCAGUUGCCAAUGAAUAUGUCUUUCUUCCUCAUUAGUACAUUUGUUAUACCUUUAACUUUUGAAAAUAUUUGAGGAACAUCCAAGGCAUUAAAUUGGAUCAAAUGAACGUUGCACAUUUUUUG
rnacentral:rRNA from 1 species